rnacentral:rRNA from 1 species
CCUACGGGUGGCUGCAGUGAGGAAUAUUGGACAAUGGGGGCAACCCUGACCCAGCCAUGCCGCGUGAGUGAAGAAGGUCUUCGGAUUGUAAAGCUCUUUCAGACGUGACGAUGAUGACGGUAGCGUCUAAAGAAGCACCGGCCAACUUCGUGCCAGCAGCCGCCGUAUUACGAAGGGUGCGAGCGUUGUUCGGAAUUACUGGUCGUAAAGGGAGUGGAGGCGGAUAUGUAAGAUAGCGGUGAAAUGCCGGGGCUCAACCCCGGAACUGCCAUUAUGACUAUGUAUCUAGAGUAAUGGAGAGGAGAGCGGAAUACCCAGUGUAGCGGUGAAAUUCGUAGAGAUUUGGUAGAACACCGGUGGCGAAGGCGGCUAUCUGGCCAUUUACUGACGCUGAGGCUCGAAAGCAUGGGGAUCAAACAGGAUUAGAUACCCUUGUAGUC